rnacentral:rRNA from 1 species
AUUGAACGCUGGCGGCAGGCUUAACACAUGCAAGUCGAGCGAGCGGCGGACGGGUGAGUAAUGUCUGGGCAACUGCCUGAUGGAUGGGGAUAACUACUGGAAACGGUAGCUAAUACCGCAUACCAUCAGAUGUGCCCAGAUGGGAUUAGCUAGUAGGUGGGGUAAUGGAGCACCUAGGCGACGAUCCCUAGCUGGUCUGAGAGGAUGACCAGCAACACUGGAACUGAGACACGGUCCAGAGUACGACGGGAGGCAGCAGUGGGGAAUAUUGGACAAUGGGCGCAAGCCUGAUGCAGCCAGGCCGAGUGUGUGAAGAAGGCCUUCGGGUUGUAAAGCACUUUAAGCGAGGAGGCGUUACUCGCAGAAGAAGCACCGGCUAACUCCGUGCCAGCAGCCGCGGUAAUAC